GACGAACGCUGGCGGCGUGCUUAACACAUGCAAGUCGAACGGUAAGGCCCUUCGGGGUACACGAGUGGCGAACGGGUGAGUAACACGUGGGUGAUCUGCCCUGCACUUCGGGAUAAGCCUGGGAAACUGGGUCUAAUACCGGAUAGGACUCCGGACUGCAUGGUCUGGGUUGGAAAGCUUUUGCGGUGUGGGAUGGGCCCGCGGCCUAUCAGCUUGUUGGUGGGAUGAUGGCCUACCAAGGCGACGACGGGUAGCCGGCCUGAGAGGGUGACCGGCCACACUGGGACUGAGAUACGGCCCAGACUCCUACGGGAGGCAGCAGUGGGGAAUAUUGCACAAUGGGCGCAAGCCUGAUGCAGCGACGCCGCGUGAGGGAUGACGGCCUUCGGGUUGUAAACCUCUUUCAGCAUCGACGAAGCGAAAGUGACGGUAGGUGCAGAAGAAGGACCGGCCAACUACGUGCCAGCCGCCGCGGUAA
rnacentral:rRNA from 1 species